rnacentral:rRNA from 1 species
UACGUAGGGGGCAAGCGUUGUCCGGAAUCAUUGGGCGUAAAGCGUCUGUAGGUGGCUUUUUAAGUCCGCCGUCAAAUCCCAGGGCUCAACUCUGGACAGGCGGUGGAAACUACCAAGCUUGAGUACGGUAGGGGCAGAGGGAAUUUCCGGUGGAGCGGUGAAAUGCGUAGAGAUCGGAAGGAACACCAGUGGCGAAGGCGACUACCUGGCCUAAUACUGACACUGAGGCACGAAAGCGUGGGGAGCAAACAGG